GAUGAACGCUGGCGGCGUGCCUAAUACAUGCAAGUCGAGCGAACGGACGAGAAGCUUGCUUCUCUGAUGUUAGCGGCGGACGGGUGAGUAACACGUGGAUAACCUACCUAUAAGACUGGGAUAACUUCGGGAAACCGGAGCUAAUACCGGAUAAUAUUUUGAACCGCAUGGUUCAAAAGUGAAAGACGGUCUUGCUGUCACUUAUAGAUGGAUCCGCGCUGCAUUAGCUAGUUGGUAAGGUAACGGCUUACCAAGGCAACGAUGCGUAGCCGACCUGAGAGGGUGAUCGGCCACACUGGAACUGAGACACGGUCCAGACUCCUACGGGAGGCAGCAGUAGGGAAUCUUCGGCAAUGGGCGAAAGCCUGACGGAGCAACGCCGCGUGAGUGAUGAAGGUCUUCGGAUCGUAAAACUCUGUUAUUAGGGAAGAACAUAUGUGUAAGUAACCGUGCACAUCUUGACGGUACCUAAACAGAAAGCCACGGCUAACUACGUG
rnacentral:rRNA from 1 species